CCCCUCUGUGUGCUUCUGUGUAACCUGAUUUGCAUAAACAUGAGUAAUUUAUGAAUAAUAAAUGCACUUGUAUUCGGCAUGAUCCGUUAAUUUGCAUAUCACCAUGGCACUACAGUUAUUUUUCCUGCUUGCUGCGCUAUCAUGAAGCCAUAAGAACUCGCAUAAAGCCGAAUCAAAAAGGAGAGUUAAAAGGAGAUCCGAAGAGCGGGGUGUCUUCUCUGUCGGCGUCACGUCGUUUUUCACCUCUGCUGGUGACUUCCUGGCGACGCCAGUCCCAUGGCACUCUGGGAAAACUGAAGGCCGAGGAUGCCUCUGGCAGGCGUACCCUGGCAACUGUCUGAGGUGGCGGGUGGGGUGGGUACGAGGGGUGUGUGUGUGUGUGUGUGUGUGAGCUCCACCGUAAAAAGUGCACUUUUGGUUCGGAGCUUCAGCCGUGUUCAAGUCCAAGGGACAGCCUCAUCACAGGAAUGAUGGCGAAUGGCAAUUCUGACGUACAUCUCACAGACCCUGCCUUAAAACAAUGGGCCUCAUCAUUUUAGCCACAAAGGUUUCUCUCUCUCUCUCUUUCUUUUUCUCUAUCUGUCCCUCUCUCUGUCUCUAUUUUCACCCCACCCCUCACAUCUCCAGAGAUAAUGGCAUAAUUUACAGCCAUGCAUUGAGAGGGAUGAAUGCAUUGUGAAGGCUGCCUUUUAGACUUAAUAGUCAUUCCCCGCUCACAAAUAACAGUGUUUUUUUCCUUAAAAGGAAUGAAAAAAAACCUUCAAGAGUGAUUUGUCCUUUUCUGUUCACAUUCUUGCUUUUAUGUUGUUUUUUUCAAUUUUUUUUCCUUAAGAUGCAAAAUUGAUUCUGAUUAAAUACGUGCACUCUACUUUUUGAAUUUGCUAUUUUUUAACAUAUCUUGAAAUAAAAAAAAGUACUGGCCUCAUUUUUUUUAUUUAUUAAUGUAUUAUCACCUGCUGAAAUACACAUACACAGAGAGAGCGAGAGAAAACAGAGAGAACGAGAGAAAAAAAGACAGAGACACAUACGCACGCAUGCACACACACUGCUCUUUGCCGCUCCACUGCAGGAAUCCUGCUGACCACGGGUGUGUGUCCCAGGGGAUGUCCUAUUGACUGAUAAUGACCUGUGCUCCCCAAAGCCGGCCAUGGCUCGAACAAGUGGCCCUGUGAGGGCCAAGGGACGGGAGGUGACGGAGGUUCAUAGACUGCCCAGCUAAUGCACUGACAAAAGGAACAUCUUGUACCCGGGUAAUCAACAACAACAACAACAACAACAAAAAACAUGGAGUGUUAAAAGGUGGAAUAAUUGGUUUUCUUCCACCACUGGUACACCCUAGGGUAAAUGCAUUAGUAAGGAAAUGCAUUAUUUUGUAUUCCUCUUUUAGAAGCCAUUUUGUUUACUUCAAAUAUUUUGUCACAUUAGCUGUUGAAAAAAAAUGUAUUACUUUAUUACUCCAUUAAAUACUCCACUACUCAUUAAUACUGUGGUGGUCAGUGUUUGUCUGUGUACGGGAGACGGAGAUCUGGAGAGCAAAUGCUUUUUCCUUCAUGAAUGCAUGAGUAGAAUAAAUCCUUGACACACAACACUCAUAUCAGAAGUUACUAAUAUUAGUCAUUCAGAAUUAGCCUAAAAAAAAAUGAAUUAAUCGAAAA
ensembl:lncRNA